GUGCCAGCAGCCGCGGUAAUACGUAGGGGGCGAGCGUUGCCCGGAAUCACUGGGCGUAAAGGGGGUGUAGGCGGUUAUCUAAGUCAGAUGUAAAAGACCUUGGCUCAACCAAGGGAUUGCGUCUGAAACUGGAUAACUUGAGGUUACUAGAGGGAGACGGAAUUACCUGUGUAGCGGUGAAAUGCGUAGAUACAGGUAAGAAGGCCGGUGGUGAAGACGGUCUCCUGGGGUAAACCUGACGCUGAGGCCCGAAAGCUAGGGGAGCAAACCGGAUUAGAUACCCGGGUAGUCCUAGCCGUAAACGAUGCCCACUAGGUGUGAGCGGUAGUACCGUUCGUGCUGAAGCUAAGGCGAUAAGUGGGCCGCCUGGGGAGUACGUCCGCAAGGAUGAAACUUAAAUGAAUUGACGGGG
rnacentral:rRNA from 1 species